ANAGCCAGUCUUUUGGGUAUGAAACCCAUUUGGGCGAGAGUAGUACUAGGAUGGGUGACCUCCUGGGAAGUCCUCGUGAAAGGGUUUC
rnacentral:rRNA from 1 species